CCUACGGGUGGCAGCAGUGAGGAAUAUUGGUCAAUGGACGAGAGUCUGAACCAGCCAAGUAGCGUGAAGGAUGACUGCCCUAUGGGUUGUAAACUUCUUUUAUAUGGGAAUAAAACGUUCCACGUGUGGGAUUUUGUAUGUACCAUAUGAAUAAGGAUCGGCUAACUCCGUGCCAGCAGCCGCGGUAAUACGGAGGAUCCGAGCGUUAUCCGGAUUUAUUGGGUUUAAAGGGCGCGUAGGGGGAUUGUUAAGUCAGUUGUGAAAGUUUGCGGCUUAACCGUAAAAUUGCAGUUGAGACUGGAAGUCUUGAGUACAGUAGAGGGGGGCGGAAUUCGUGGUGUAGCAGUGAAAUGCUUAGAUAUCACGAAGAACUCCGAUUGCGAAGGCAGUUCACUGGACUGCAACUGACACUGAGGCUCGAAAGUGUGGGUAUCAAACAGGAUUAGAUACCCGGGUAGUC
rnacentral:rRNA from 1 species